AUGGGGUCAGGAGACCGCCUUGCACGGUACUGGCCGCAGCGGGUCACGUGGUUUCACCGGCGGGGUGUUCAUUCGGCCGAGCGGACGGCGGGGCCGGGCUUUGUUCACGCGCUGCCGCGGCCGAGGCUCUCCGGGCGGUUUGCGGCGUCCCGAGCCGGGGGCUCGGCCACCGAGGGGCCCCCCGUUUCCUCGCCGAUGCCUGGACUGGGCUCAUGGGAUCGGGAGGCGGCAGUCGGCGGCGUGGAGCACAGCGGAGCACGGCGAAUGCAGGAGGAAGCGAAAGACAUGGCAGCCACGACCACCGGCCAUCCCGGAACCACGGGCAGCCCGGACUGCUUUCCGCACUGCACCCUGGAGCACGCGGUGAAGACCAUCGUCGACAUCUAUCAUCAGUACUGCGUCCGCGACAACAAGGACGACCUGCUGAGCCUCAAGGACCUGAGGGAGCUCCUGAAAUGCCAGGCGCCGACUUUCCUCGCUGCCUGCAACCGGAGCCAUCCUGGCUACAUUGAAAAGCUCUUCAAAGAGGCAGAUGUUGAUGGGAACAAACAGCUGACCUUCGAGGAAACGAUCAAGGUGUUCGCGCUCCUGGCUGACGACGCUCAUCGCAUCAGUCACGACGAGGACCGCUGCGGCCCAGACAAGGACUGAUAAUCCCCAGUGGCUGAACCGGCAGCCCCUCGCAGCACAUCUGCUGGAGCUGAUUGUUCCCCAAAUCCUUCCUGAUAACCCACCGCAUGCCCAAGGGCCAAAGUGGAAGACGAACUGGAGACAGGCAAUGACCAAUUCUCCAUUUCUCCCUCGGUCAAAAGCUUCUGCCUGACUGGUUCUCCUCCCACUUUUUCCUCUUUUACAUCACCUUCCCCAGCUGCUUUUCUCUUUGCAGGGGAAAAGAUACCGAGCAACGCCAUGCACCUUUUUCCCUGCUGGAAAAAACAAUUUGGAAAACUGUGCAUCUUCUAUGUAAUUUGGCUCAUGCUCUGUUCCCAGCACACAGCGGCAGAUUCCGUUUGGUUUUGGCAGCAUGUUGAUGCGAGGAAAUAAAACCACCAAAAUCGCCCACGAAUGAAUGGCGUUCGUUUACUUUG
rnacentral:lncRNA from 1 species